rnacentral:lncRNA from 1 species
GGCGAAGAAGUGCACAUUUGGAUUUAAGAGGUUUGGGGCAACAAAGUUAUCUCGGAUGCGAGGAUGGUUUUUUUCAAAUUAAAAACCGGCUUAUUCAUAGAGGUGUACAGUCAAAGAUCUAUUUUACCCUUUUUCGCCCUGGAAUUUUCACCUUCAAUUUGAGCUUAAAUAAGUUUUUCAUAAAUAUUUAUUGCCUCUCCCAUCCCAAC